UACGGAGGGUGCGAGCGUUGUCCGGAAUCAUUGGGCGUAAAGGGCGCGUAGGUGGCCCGGUGAGUCUUUGGUGAAAGCGCGGGGCUCAACCCUGCGUCGGCCAGGGAUACUGCCGCGGCUCGAGCACUGUAGAGGCAGGCGGAAUUCCGGGUGUAGCGGUGGAAUGCGUAGAGAUCCGGAAGAACACCGGUGGCGAAGGCGG
rnacentral:rRNA from 1 species